UAUGUGGCUGCUGUUCUCCCAAUUAACUGGGAGUCAGUCGAUCCAAGGUUAUUAACCCUCUUCCUACAUAUGCUUUUGAGUUGCAAAAAGUAUGCAGAAAGUAAGCUUCUACAAAACACUGAAGGAACCCUCAGGCAGAGGGGGAAGGAAGACAUUAAUCUCAGACUCUGGUUAUUAUCUGGAACAUCUAUUGCUUUGUGCACUGUGGGUCCUCAGUAAAUCGCCGUGGAUUGAGCCAUUUGCAAUCUGCCAUUAAACCAUCAUAAACCAAAUUCAACCAUAUUAUUUCGGAAAACGCCUAACAGGGAAUGGAGGACUUCUCUCUCUCACCCUGCCCCCACCUGUUUCCCCAAACAUUGAAGCUUCCUUGCCCAACCACCAUGCUCAUCUGUGUCCACAAGGAAAACGUGAAAUUAGAUAAGAACUUUCAGGGACUCAGUAUACUAAAAGAAAGAGACGUGUAACAAAUAACUAUAAUGUAUUCAGUCCUGCAAGAGAAUUUGGGGCAACAUUUUUUUAGAUCCUAACUUUGCUUCCAGGUACCAGUAAAGAUAUUCUGGAGACACGGUUAAAUUAGGUCUAAGGAAGUAUUACAUUUAAUGGACUUUGGAGUCAGGCCUAGUUCACUUGAGCUCUCAAAUCUAUUUAUUAGCUGUGUAAACAUAGGAGAGUUUAUUUUUAAAUUUCAGUUUCCUGGCUAUCCACUUGUCCUAAUCACACUUGUCUCAGAAGGUUGUGAGAAUUAAACAAAAAAGUACCUAUAAUGUUGAACAGAUGCCCGGCACAGGGUAGAUGGUUAGUAAACAGUGGCAUUUAAGCGACAUGUCUGGUUAUACCCGGGUGAUUUUCAGGCAGAUGGCUGGGUCUUUGGGAAAGGAAUAAGUGUGAGUGUAACAGUUCAUGCAUGUUUAUGUCGGUGAAAGAUAAGACGGUAAACCAAGUGAAGUAAGAAACUUAGUGUUUGCAAAGAGUGA